UGGUAGGCGGCGUUAGAAGCGGAAAGACCCCAAAUUAAUACUCUGCCCUUUUUCGGCCUCCGAGUGUUAAUCUCUAGAAAUGUUUUCCGCGCUGGACCGCACCCAAGUCUGUUGCAAUACAGCGGCAUAGUGGUGAGACCCCCGUAUAUGGUGCGCAUGCCCAGCGCUUUGUGAUACAUUUUCGAAGAGUCGAGUUGUUAGGGAAUGCAGUUCAAAUUGGGUGGUAAAUUCCAUCUAAAGCUAAAUAUCGGCGAGAGACCGAUAGCGAACAAGUACCGUGAGGGAAAGAUGAAAAGCACUUAGGAAAGAGAGAUAACAGUACGUGAAAUUGUUGGAAGGGAAACGCUUGAAGUCAGACUUGCUUGCCGAGCAAUCGGUAAGCAGGGCAGCAUCAGUUUUCCGGGAUGGAUAAUGGUAGAGAGAAGGUAGCAGUCUGGACAAUAAAUCAUCAAGAACUGGAUACAUCAGUAGGGUUGAGGAACCC
rnacentral:rRNA from 1 species